rnacentral:lncRNA from 1 species
AAAAGUAAAACCUAAAACCUAAUUCCCUAAACUAAAUCAGCGCCGCACAGCCACAGCUCCACCACCGCGCCUUGUCUGACUCCCAUCCCUCUCCAGUCUCCACCGCGCGGUCCGCGCCGUCCCAUCCCGCCGGCCGCCGGCCGCCACCCCACCUACUCUGCGCCUGCAAUCGCCCACCACGCCACCUCCGCGCUUGCAAUCCCCCAGAGCAGCUCGAAGCUCGAGCGCAGAGCGCCGCAGAUCUGCGCCUCUCUUCCCGACGGCCGACGCCCUCCACCUCUGACCUCAGAGUUUCAGACCGCCCCCCAGACGCACCUCACUCGGCGCGUCAUUCCUUCUAGGCUGCAGUAGGUUCGAUUUAGUUUUUAGUGAACCUCAAGAAUGUUGAAAAUUGAUGCUUAAUUAUGACUUAUGACUUAUGAGUUAUGAUUGUGUUCGAAUUUUGUUGAUGUGUUCGAAUUUUUCAGCCUUAUGAAUUGGUGCAGUUGUUUCAAUUUUGUUCGAAUGAAUUGGUGCAGCCUUAUGAAUUGUGUUCGAAUUUUUCAGCCUUAUGAAUUGGUGCAGUUGUUUCAAUUUUGUUAGAAUGAAUUGGUGUAGCCUUAUGAAUUGUGUUCGAAUUUUUCAGCAUAGAUUCUUCAGUUGGAUUUUCGGAUUGUUAGGCGUAUGUAUUUCGGAUUUCUUGUCAUUUUGGAUUUUCGGAUUUUCGGAUUUUGCUUAUAUUUCGGAUUUUUUCGGUUUGGAUCGGAUUUUAUCCGAAAACUUCGGAUUUUCGGAUUCGGAUCAACGGAUUAUAUGGUUCGGAUUGGAUUUUAUUUUCUUCAAACUUCGGAUUUUCGGAUCGGAUCAGGCAAAAAUCCGAUCCGUAAUCCGAAUGCUCACCC